rnacentral:rRNA from 1 species
GACGAACGCUGGCGGCGUGCCUAAUACAUGCAAGUAGAACGCACAGUUUAUACCGUAGCUUGCUACACCAUAGACUGUGAGUUGCGAACGGGUGAGUAACGCGUAGGUAACCUGCCUGGUAGCGGGGGAUAACUAUUGGAAACGAUAGCUAAUACCGCAUAAUAUUAAUUAUUGCAUGAUAAUUAAUUGAAAGGUGCAAUUGCACCACUACCAGAUGGACCUGCGUUGUAUUAGCUAGUAGGUGAGGUAACGGCUCACCUAGGCGACGAUACAUAGCCGACCUGAGAGGGUGAUCGGCCACACUGGGAAUGAGACACGGCCCAGAAUCCUACGGGAGGCAGCAGUAGGGAAUCUUCGGCAAUGGACGAAAGUCUGACCGAGCAACGCCGCGGGAGUGAAGAAGGUUUUCGGAUCGUAAAGCUCUGUUGUAAGAGAAGAACGGGUGUGAGAGUGGAAAGUUCACACUGUGACGGUAUCUUACCAGAAAGAGACGGCUAACUACGUG